UUAAAAGUUUUAUUUUGGCUUAAAUAAUUCUUAUAUAAAAAUUUUACAUGUAAAUUUAAUGUAGGAUAAUAAAAAUCUAAAAGUUGAAUUAUAUAAACGCAGUAUUUUAUAUUAUUUAUUAAAUUAAUUUAGAGAUAAUUAUUUAUAAAGUUUUGGCUAAAGUUGUGCCAGCCGCUGCGGUUAAACAACAGAAAUAAAGGAUUAAAUUUAGUGUAUAGUUAAUAUUAAUUAAUAAAAUAUAAGUAAAAUAAUUAGGUGAAAUUUAUAUUUUAUAAAAAUUUUUAAUUAAUGAAGCUAUAAAAUAUGAGUAAAAACUAGGAUUAGAUACCCUACUAUAACAUAAGUAUUUUAGAAAGCUUGAGUAAUAAUAGUUAAAUUCUUUAAACUCAAAAAAUUUGGCGGUAUUUUACCCUAUACAGAGGAAUCUGUCCUGUAAUCGAUAGUCCACGAUAUAAUUUAUUUAAUUUUGUUUAAGCUUGUAUACCGCUGUCAGCAGGAUAUAAUUAAAGUUUAUAUUCAGGAGAUUAUAUAAAAUAAAAUGUCAAGUCAAGGUGCAGUAAAUGGUUAAAAAGUGAUGGAUUACAAUAAUUAAAUUUAAACGGAAUAUAAUUGUAAAAUUUUAGGAAGGUGGAUUUGGGAGUAAUAUUAAUUAGAAUAAUAAUAUGUUAAAGUUUUAAAGUAUGUACACAUCGCCCGUCGCUCUCGUUUUUUAAGAUGAGAUAAGUCGUAACAUAGUAGAUGUACCGGAAGGUGUCUCUAGGAAGA
rnacentral:ncRNA from 1 species